GCUCUGGGGAGAAAGGAAGCCAGCACUGACAUACACAGACACAGCCCACAUAUAGUCCAGCCCGGAUCGGGAACAGGCACAGGGAUUACUGAUGAUAACCCGGACCGGGAAGCCGUGCACGGACCGAGAUGAAUAUCUGGA